rnacentral:lncRNA from 1 species
CGUCCUUUGUCUCAUGCUAAACAACGAUAUUUAAUGUAUCUGCCUUACUGUAAGGGUAGGUUUAGGGCUGGGGUAGGUGUAGACUUUAAUAAAAACGCAAUCUAAUUGGUAGAAAAUAAUAUUUAUUGCUGGUUUCCUGUAACUGUAUCCCUUUUAGCUACAACCGCGAAUAUAACACAUACUUACUGUAUUUGCAGUACUGUAAGGGUAUGAUUAGGGUUGUGGUAGGUGUAGACGUUAAUAAACCAUAACUUUACAGUAGAAUUUUCAUUGUGGAAUUGUACUACCCACUGUUUUGGUGGGAGGUAGGAAAAUCUGACUGCGUAGGACAAAUCGACAGAACAUACUUGCUGUCGGCUCGGCUGUUUAACGUUAAUCGUCUUUUUUUUUUUUUUUUUUUAAUGCUUCAAACAUUUUUCUAAACUAACUUGAUAAAGAAAUGAAAAGAAACAUAACACAAAACUGACCCCUUUUUUAAUUGCUGCAAAUAGGACAGGCUUCCGCUGUGUAAUAAAAUAAAUAAAUAAAAGCUCGGGCUGGACUCGGGCUGAUAAUUCGCUGCGCUGUCGGACACGGGUCGGGCUAGGGCCUGAGCGUCUCGGGCCAGGGCUGGGCUCGGGCCUAGAUUUGAGGCCCGUGCAGGGCUCUAGUGUAAGUUUUUGUUUUAUAGACAAAAGUUUUUAAACCAAAGUUCUAAAAAAAUGUUGCUUUUAUCUUUUCCUUUUUACAGGCGAUGAAAACAAUGCAGAAGAUUUCAAAAACUACAUUCUAACGACAUAUCCAAAACUUGGUGACUGUGGGGGAUUUGAGAUUUUAAAAACAUCAGGCAUGACCCGAUCUAGGAAUCUGGUGGUGUUGCCUUGCCCAAACACAGGGUACACAAUUAAGGCUCUAAAAGAAAAUAUGGGACAUGCUGUCAUCUACAUACGUCCUAUGCAAAAAGACAUAGAACUGUCCAGUUCUGUUGUCUGUGAAUCUCCCAUGCUUGGGCCAAUGGAGAGAUGUCUUACCUGUGAAAAACAGUUCAAUUUCAAUGAACUUAAGGUUCACAUUGAGAGCUGCAGGCCUAGGACUGAAUGUUCCAAUCACCUGCCACCAACAUUAGAGAACGAACACCUAAAUGCACAGACUUCAGACAGUGAUUCACUCAUCAACCAGUCUCCCACUGAGGAAAAUACUGACCAGCUGUUCAUCGAUUUAACAGAUGAAAAAACGGACAUGGAAUCUUUAAGUGAAUGGCGGAGGAUGCGUGAGGAGCAGGAUGAUGAAUAUAAUCAGUCUUUGAUAGCAGAUCAAGCCAAAGUAUGUAGGGUAAACUUUAUAACA